GAUGAACGCUGGCGGCGUGCCUAAUACAUGCAAGUCGAGCGAACAGAUGAGGAGCUUGCUCCUCUGACGUUAGCGGCGGACGGGUGAGUAACACGUGGAGAACCUACCUAUAAGACUGGGAUAACUUCGGGAAACCGGAGCUAAUACCGGAUAAUAUAUUGAACCGCAUGGUUCAAUAGUGAAAGACGGUUUUGCUGUCACUUAUAGAUGGAUCCGCGCCGCAUUAGCUAGUUGGUAAGGUAACGGCUUACCAAGGCAGCGAUGCGUAGCCGACCUGAGAGGGUGAUCGGCCACACUGGAACUGAGACACGGUCCAGACUCCUACGGGAGGCAGCAGUAGGGAAUGUUCCGCAAUGGGCGAAAGCCUGACGGAGCAACGCCGCGUGAGUGAUGAAGGUCUUCGGAUCGUAAAACUCUGUUAUUAGGGAAGAACAAAUGUGUAAGUAACUAUGCACGUCUUGACGGUACCUAAUCAGAAAGCCACGGCUAACUACGUG
rnacentral:rRNA from 1 species